rnacentral:rRNA from 1 species
UACAGAGGUCUCAAGCGUUGUUCGGAUUCAUUGGGCGUAAAGGGUGUGUAGGUGGCGCGCUAAGUCGGGUGUGAAAUCCCGGAGCUCAACUCCGGAACUGCCUUUGAUACUCCCGCGCUAGAGAGCUGGAGGGGACAUCGGAAUUCACGGUGGAGCAGUGAAAUGCGUGGAUAUCGUGAGGAACACUAGUGGCGAAGGCGGAUGUCUGGACAGUAUCUGACGCUGAGGCGCGACAGCGUGGGGAGCAAACAGG